CACGUAGGCACCAAGCGUUGUCCGGAUUUAUUGGGCGUAAAGAGCUCGUAGGCGGUUCAGUAAGUCGGGUGUGAAAACUUUGGGCUUAACCCAAAGCGUGCAUCCGAUACUGCUGUGACUUGAGUUCGGUAGGGGAGUGGGGAAUUCCUAGUGUAGCGGUGAAAUGCGCAGAUAUUAGGAGGAACACCGGUGGCGAAGGCGGCUCUCUGGGACGGUACUGACGCUGAGACGCGAAAGCGUGGGGAGCGAACAGG
rnacentral:rRNA from 1 species